rnacentral:rRNA from 1 species
AACGAACGCUGGCGGCAUGCCUAACACAUGCGAGUCGAACGAGACCUUCGGGUCUAGUGGCGCACGGGUGCGUAACGCGUGGGAACCUGCCCUUAGGUUCGGAAUAACUCCCCGAAAGGGGUGCUAAUACCGGAUAAUGUCUUCGGACCAAAGAUUUAUCGCCUUUGGAUGGGCCCGCGUUGGAUUAGCUAGUUGGUAGGGUAAAAGCCUACCAAGGCGACGAUCCAUAGCUGGUCUGAGAGGAUGAUCAGCCACACUGGGACUGAGACACGGCCCAGACUCCUACGGGAGGCAGCAGUGGGGAAUAGUGGACAAUGGGCGAAAGCCUGAUCCAGCAAUGCCGCGUGAGUGAUGAAGGCCUUAGGGUUGUAAAGCUCUUUUACCCGGGAUGAUAAUGACAGUACCGGGAGAAUAAGCGCCGGCUAACUCCGUG